UGUAGAAAUACUUGCUAGGUUAGGAGAUUUCAAUUGUGUUAAUUGCAGUGGUCCUGCAAUACAUCAACAUCAUUAUUGCUCUGAAAAUUAUCCCCUGGCACAAUGAGGGUCAAUGUUUGGUAUUGAUAUAUUCCAUUUUUACUUUCUUAGGUCACUUUUAUUUCAGUCUGGAAGUACAGUCAAAACUUAGCCAAGGAUUGUUAUAUACCACAGAAGAAGUGUGAUACAGAGUGGAAAAGGCAGUAAAAUGGAAACUGAGACAUUGAGUUAGUUACUGCAUGAAAUCUUGAUUGGGGAACCACUACACAACCAGCUGCAGUGAAGGGAAGCUUUGCAGCACCUUACACAAGGUAUUGCAGGGAAUGUAAAUAAAGGUAAUUACCCUCCACUG
rnacentral:lncRNA from 1 species